ACCGUGAGGUAUGGGCGAGAAGAAGGGAUAGCAAAAUCGUAGCCUGACGAACAGAAACCUAAUACCAAGGCUUGUAUAGCGGAUAAGCGGGCCAUAAGCCGUGAAAUCCAAAAGGCAACCGUAACCUAUGCAGGUAGAUUAGGCAGGUAGACGAGGAAAGAC
rnacentral:ncRNA from 1 species